AGAGUUGAAAGAAUUCAAGGCCGAAGCACCGUUUCAUGUUUCCUGUGCGAGUCAGUUUUCAAUGCACUUGGAGUUGAAAUAAUUCAAGGCCGAAGCACCGUUUCAUGUUUCCUGUGCGAGUCAGUUUUCAGUGCACCAAGAAUUGAAGGAAUUCAAGACCGAAGCAUCGUUUCAUAUAUCUCCACUGUUAGUGUUCAGAAGAGACCAAUACACUUUGAAGCGGAAAAAACAGAAUGAUAUCUCUAGAUCAACUCUAACAGUGUUACUAGAGCUCGGGUUGCAUAUGAAGAAAGAGCCGUGGAUGA